CGCGGAAUAGAGCAGUUUGGUAGCUCGCAAGGCUCAUAACCUUGAGGUCACGGGUUCAAAUCCUGUCUCCGCAA
rnacentral:tRNA from 1 species